rnacentral:rRNA from 1 species
AAAUUGAAGAGUUUGAUCAUGGCUCAGAUUGAACGCUGGCGGCAGGCCUAACACAUGCAAGUCGAACGGUAACAGGAAGCAGCUUGCUGCUUCGCUGACGAGUGGCGGACGGGUGAGUAAUGUCUGGGAAACUGCCUGAUGGAGGGGGAUAACUACUGGAAACGGUAGCUAAUACCGCAUAACGUCGCAAGACCAAAGAGGGGGACCUUCGGGCCUCUUGCCAUCGGAUGUGCCCAGAUGGGAUUAGCUUGUUGGUGGGGUAACGGCUCACCAAGGCGACGAUCCCUAGCUGGUCUGAGAGGAUGACCAGCCACACUGGAACUGAGACACGGUCCAGACUCCUACGGGAGGCAG